rnacentral:rRNA from 1 species
UACGUAGGGGGCAAGCGUUGUCCGGAUUUAUUGGGCGUAAAGAGCGUGUAGGCGGCUUUGCAAGUCCGUUGUGAAAACUCGAGGCUCAACCUCGAGACGCCGGUGGAAACUGCAAAGCUAGAGUCCGGAAGAGGAGAGUGGAAUUCCUGGUGUAGCGGUGAAAUGCGCAGAUAUCAGGAGGAACACCGAUGGCGAAGGCAGGUCACUGGGCCGCAACUGACGCUGAGGAGCGAAAGCAUGGGGAGCGAACAGG